CCCAACCCCAGCUUUCAUCCCAACUGUCCUGAUGGUGGCUCUAAGCAUUUCUCCUUUCUCUAUACCAAGAUCUCUCCCCAGAAACAAACCCAAAUCUUACUGUAUGUUAUGGCACGUUAUGAUGAUGAGCAGCGAUGAGCAGCGGAAGCCUCAAGGAAGGGAUGCUUUUGUAAAACAAGACUUGUGGAAUAUAACAUGUGAAAGUAAAGCCCAUGGCAGAGCUCCCUCCUAAACACACGGGGAGCAGACAGGAAGCUUCUUCCUCACCUUCCUCAAUGGCCUGCAGCCACGUCUCCCCAGCAAUGGGGAUCUUAUUGAUGGUCCCUCCUUCCGUCUGGAUUCCUGUGUUAGGAUGACACAGCACAGAGCUACCUCUCACCUGACCCGUGAUGAAACGUAAAUAAAUGAGGAAGAAGAUUUUUGAGCCACUGAAAUUUGGAGGUUGUUUGUCACCACAGUUUAAGCUAGCCCCC
rnacentral:lncRNA from 1 species